rnacentral:lncRNA from 1 species
CUCAGAAUUCUUCCCAGUGCAUUAUUUAAAAUUUUUUAUUUAUUAUUAUUUUUGGUUGCACUGAGUCUUUGUUGCCGCAUGUAGGCUUUCUCUAGUUGCAGUGAGCAGGGGCUUCUCUUUGUUGCAGUGCUUAGGAAGCCUAAGAGAAGCAGUAGCUUCUCUUGUUGCGGGCAACAGGCUUUAGGCAUGUGGGCUUCAGCAGUUGCAGCCUGAGGGCUCACUAGUUGCGGUGUGAGGCUCUAGGGCUUAUGGGCUUCAGUAGUUGCAGGACACAAGCUCAGCAGCUGUGGCUCGAGGGCCUUACAGCUCGGGCUUUAGUAGUUGUGGCACAUGGGCUUAGCUACCCCACAGCGUGUGGGGUCUUCCCACACCAGGGAUUGAACCCACGUCCCCUGCAUUGGCAGAUAGAUUCUUAACCAUUGGACCACCAGGGAAGUCCUGGACUGAGCCUUUCGCUGAGGGAGACACGGGCGUCCUGUCUCUCUCCCUCUGCCUCUUGCACGCUUCUAGAGCGUAUCGUGCCUCCCUAUUCGAAUCCCCAUGGAGGUGCCCCACCACCUGGAGGAAGAAGGUCGAAUGUCUCAGCUCAGCCACUGAUGUCCACCAGGAUCCUCCUCUGUGCCUUGUCCCUGCCCCUUAGGCAGGACCCACUGCCUAAGAGCACCCUGUUCCUGUUCCAGGGACACCUGCCUGAAGACCUUAUCCUACUCACUCCAGAAAUGUCCAUCCACCCUCCUCCCACGGUGCCUCUGUCCUGGGCAUUGCCCUGCACUUCAUUGCAUUGUGUUAUCUUGACCCCUGGACUCCUUUCACCCCUCCACGCCCCCUGCCAUGACAUCCCAGGUCCUGUUGAAGCUGGGGAGCUGGAAGAAGUGUGCGUGGAGGUGACAGCGGAGGAGCUGGGUGAAGGUGGAGGCAAGGAGAGACCAGUGGAGGUGGUACCUGGAGAGAUGGACCAGCACGUUUGCGGGCGUGUCUGCUCGAAUCUCUGGAUGUCUCAGACCUUCCUCUUGCUGCCUCCCUGA